GGCUAUAAAAGAUGUAACAGAUGCAAACUGUAAAACAAGGGCAAUUAACCCUUGCUCUUCUGAGCAAGAUCCCCCCCUCGCCUUCGCAUCCAUUGUCUUCUCCUGCACUGGGAAUUUCACAGAAAACCCAAAAAAUUAUUACCUGCCUCAACUAUUUUUUCAUUUUCUUUUUGCAGCGAAUUGAGCUUCCCCCCCCCCCUUUUUUUAUGUUUUUAUCCUUCCUUACCUCCCUUCUGUCUUUUCACUUUACUGGAGCUUCAUCCCAGGACUGAGCAGCAAAGUGUGUGGUUGCUUAGGUCUUUUUAUUUUGCCUGAACUCUCUUUUCAGACGUUUGCGGUUAUAAAACCUGCUUGGCUAAAAUAAAUCUCCGAGCAGGUAAGAGGAUGGGAAUAUUGAGAGUGUGUGCAGGGUCAGCGUGUUUACUCACACUCUCCUGCUUGGGAUUCCGCCUGGGCAGAGUGAAUUGGUGGCUAUGGGGAUGUAUGUGGCUGAGGAAGGAAGAGGGUGAGAAAUGUGCUGGAAACUUUAGUAUUUGCCAGUUAUUCCCUAUCCUGGAGUGGGCAAUGGUGGCAUCACCGUGGCACAUCUACCAGGAGAUGUAGCGGAGAGGAACUGAGAAAAGCCCGGACUCUCUGCUUGCCUCGGCAAUUGGCGUUUUAAUGCAAAACCACCAAUGGUGAAAUGUUUAAAAUGCGUCUCAUUACCUUCCCUGAUCUUCAGCCUCCCGCAAAAAGUUGUCAAUAAUUUUAAACCUGCAGAUCUCGACAACACUUUUCUUCCCAGAUGGCCGGCUAGCUUUUGAAAUAAGUAUAUAUUGGUGUUUUGGUUUUUUUUUUUUUUUGCUUUUUGGUAAACGACUUUUAAGUUCCAGUCAGUACUUUCACUUCUGGCUUUAGGAUCCCAGAAGUUAAGGUGUUACUUCACCCAGCUUCACAAAAUAAAAUAAAGAAAUGAAACUAACUAAGCAGACAAAACAGCAAAGUUUCCGUUUUGGGGAAACACAUCCUUGGCCGGGGAGCCCCGGGCUGGGGCUCCAGCGCGCCCGGGCUGGCUCUGCAGGCUCAGAGCAGGCAAAGCAUUAACAGGAGGAUGAAGUCCCUUCCUAACACUAAAACUUUUGCUGCUGGGUUGUAAAAGGCACCUCCCGUACCUGGCUGACAGGUAAGGGGAGCAGGGAUGGUGGUGGCACAACCCCGAGAGCCCCGAAACUGCUCAUCCUUUCCCGGAGAGGUACCGACGGCACUUCAGGUUUCGGUUAAAAGGUUUUUCGCCCCAAGUAUAAACAUGCCAGAAAGAAGCCAACACGUUUAGAAAUAAUAUGCUAUCGAAAUUAAAUAAGCCCGCUAUAGCGUGAGGUGGUGUGAGAAAAAAAAGAAAGGGAGAAUUAAAAAAAAAAAAAAAAAAAAAAAAGGAGAGAAAA